rnacentral:lncRNA from 1 species
UCUAAGAAUUUACAAAGGUGGAGGUAAAAUAAAUCAGAUUCAAGUUAUCAUUAGAUCUCUGUAGAAAAUCUUUUUUGAAAAAUGUGCAAAGGACAUAUUUGGAUAGUACAUGAUUUUAGGAAGCUACAAGAAUUUGAAUCAACCUUUUUGGAGCAGAGAUAAAUUUACCAUGUAUUUUACAGGCUUCUGAAAAAACAAAAAGUGGAAAAGGCUUAUACCCACUGGGCUAUCGACGCACAAGCCGAGGGAUAGCUACUAGGCGCCAUGGGUUGGGCCAACAAUCUAGCCUAUGCGCGAAGGGCCAUAGUGGAAGCAUAUUAACCGCAAUAU